rnacentral:rRNA from 1 species
GGUUCAUUCAAAUUUCUGCCCUAUCAACUUUCGAUGGUAGGAUAGUGGCCUACCAUGGUAUCAACGGGUAACGGGGAAUUAGGGUUCUAUUCCGGAGAGGGAGCCUGAGAAACGGCUACCACAUCCAAGGAAGGCAGCAGGCGCGCAAAUUACCCAAUCCCGACCGGGGAGGUAGUGACAAUAAAUACUGAUACAGGGCUCUUUUGGGUCUUGUAAUUGGAAUGAGUACAAUUUAAAUACCUUAACGAGGAACAAUUGGAGGGCAAGUCUGGUGCCAGCAGCCGCGGUAAUUCCAGCUCCAAUAGCGUAUAUUAAAGUUGUUGAGGUUAAAAAGCUCGUAGUUG